AUGACUGCUUGUCUUGCUGCCUGCCCCAAAUGGCGACUUCUUUCCCCUUGCAUUUUUCUCCUUCUCAACUCAGCUGACCCCUUUUCAGACUCAGAGCAGGGAACACACAGAAAACCCUUCACUCCAAGGCCUAGAUACAAAACCCGCCGCGGGGAGGGCUCCCGCCCCACAGAUGAUGAUUUGCAUUCUAUUUACAUGCUAUUUGCAUGCAGCUUAACUCGAAGUCAAAACCCACCCAGGGCCCCCACCCCACCGAGGAAACUUCUGAAUCAAGGUUCCUUGGCUGAAGUUCCCGUGGCUUUUGUGCCUCACUUUCCCCCUCACUUCUCUCGUCUUUUCGAGGACCCCCGGUUCCUCCCCCUGGGCUCUGCUCAAGUACCCCCCAUCCUGGCGCAGCUGGGCAGCCAGUGUGGCGCGUGGGCCGGGGCCCCGGGCAGGGACGCCGCUGCCCGCCACACUCCAGGGGCCUUUGUCCGCGCUCCAAGGAGCCGCCCCCUUCGCGAACGGGGAACGAGUUGGGAGGCGGGGGGCGGGGGGCGGGGGGCGGGGGGGCUGGCUAGGCCUGGGUGUGACAGCGGGGGCCAGGGGACGAACUCGCGAGCCGCGCUGGGGCCGUCCUCUACCGCAAGGUCGGCGCCCCGCUCCCCCGGGGCCCAGGCGGGUGCCGGCGUUGGGGACCCCGGGAUGUGCGGGGCUGGGAGCCCGCGUCCCGCAAGGGCAGCGAAGGCACCACUGCACGGGCUAGUCCUCAGCCCCAGCCAGCCGCUCGCCAUUGUAUGCAGCCGUCCCUCGGCCCCAGGUCUCCGCUCGGCCGCCCUCCACCCCCUCCUCCCCGCCCCGCGCGCUGCUCGCUCCUCGUCCCGUAGUGCGCAGGCACCGCCGGCUGCAAGCCUGGCCCCCGGCCCCUGCGGCAGGUGCCGCCGCUCACCCCCAGAGCCCGGCCCCCGUGAGCAGGCUCCGUCUGCCCUGCGGUCAGCCCCCACGGGCGGAGCACGCGGCCCCGGACCUGCCCGCGGCUCUCCGCACGAGUCACCGGGUGCGGCUGGACUCCCUCGCGCUACUCCCAGCUGUCCUUUACCUGUGGUCGCCCCCAGACCCUGCUCUGAGACUCCGAUCUCCACCUGGUCCGGGUAG
rnacentral:lncRNA from 1 species